CCUACGGGGGGCAGCAGUAGGGAAUAUUGCUCAAUGGGGGAAACCCUGAAGCAGCAACGCCGCGUGGAGGAUGAAGGGUUUCGGAUUGUAAACUUCUUUUGUUAGAGAAGAUAAUGACGGUAUCUAACGAAUAAGCACCGGCUAACUCCGUUCCAGCAGCCGAGGUAACACGGAGGGUGCCAGCGUUACUCGGAAUCACUGGGCGGAAAGAGCGCGUAGGCGGGAUAGCAAGUCAGAUGUGAAAUCCUAUGGCUUAACCAUAGAACUGCAUUUGAAACUGUUAUUCUAGAGUAUGGGAGAGGUAGGUGGAAUUCUUGGUGUAGGGGUAAAAUCCGUAGAGAUCAAGAAGAAUACUCAUUGCGAAGGCGACCUGCUAGAACAUAACUGACGCUGAUGCGCGAAAGCGUGGGGAGCAAACAGGAUUAGAUACCCCGGUAGUC
rnacentral:rRNA from 1 species